rnacentral:lncRNA from 10 species
CUCCAUUAGGCACAUUCAGUCCACUCUUGCAUUCUUUCUUCCCACCCUGACUGCUCAGAGAAAUGUACCCCACCUCCCUAGCCCUCUGUGCUUCAAGUCUUCCUUUGACCCCCUUCGCUCUCCCACAGCAGGGCUCUCAUCUGAGCUUUGGGAGUGGGUCUGGACCUCGUGACCAUUACUCCAUCUGCUACCCCACGCUUCCUUAGGCUCCCACCCUCUGGCUAGCUUGAGAGGAAGGACGAUGGUCAAGGUACAUGUCUCUUCUCCUCUGACUCUGGGAAUGAGAUUUUUCUACUCCCACAGGCUUGAACUCUCCUUAUAGGAGUGUCUCCACAUGCCAAAAUCAGAGGAAGUCAGAAUAAAACCUCCCAAGGCUGAAAACUAGAGCUGGCACGUAGUACAUGGUCAGUAAAUGUUUUUAGGUGGCUGGAUGAGUGAAGGAAUGAGUGAGUGAGUGAAUCCAGGAUCGAUCUGGAAACACACCAGGGCUCAGACCUCUUGGGCUAAGUGCCAGUCUCAGUCCUCUUGGGCUGUGUAACACCAAAGAGAACACCCCAGGCUCUGGCUUACCCCAAGGGCACACCCAUGCUCACAAACACACACACACGCACGCACACGCACACGUGCACACGCGCAUUUGAGGGAAACUUCUGGGCCGCAGGCAGAGACAGGACUCAGAC